AUCGAAGGAGAAGCCAUUGUGGAAAUUUGGGUGCUGCCUAAAGAAUUCAGCUAGAUUCAAGCUCAAAAGCCUGCAAAGAAAGCUAAGGUCUGGUUUGCAUAGAUUGCUGAAGAUAGGAAUUUAUAGCAAAUGGUGGCAACUUUUUAACUGUUUGAUUUGGAUUGCAGACAUGGAUUUCUGUUACUUCACCGGCAGAAAGUCGGAAUAUGAGACUUCCUCGCUGGAGAAAAUGGGGCCAGGGAGAAGCUCAAACCGGAGAAGAAAGCACAAUGCACACAGAAGUGAUCCUAAAGCAAGAUGGAAGGCAAGAAAGGCAUACUCCACAAGCUGGGAGAUUCUUUGUUUGGUUCUCGAAAUCUUUGACUCCCCCGUACCCCAGUUCCCUGAAAAAGAAUAAAGUUUUGGUGAUUGCCGAG
rnacentral:lncRNA from 1 species